AGAAAGGCUUUAUUCAAAGCCACCUCCAAGAAGUUUGGGGGAGAGG
rfam:Heterocephalus glaber contig10933, whole genome shotgun sequence.